rnacentral:rRNA from 1 species
GACGAACCGAGCGAACGUUGUUCGGAAUCACUGGGCUUAAAGGGCGCGUAGGCGGGUGCUCAAGUCUGUGGUGAAAUCCUCCGGCUCAACCGGAGAACUGCCAUGGAUACUGGGUGUCUCGAGGGUGGUAGGGGUAUGCGGAACUAUCGGUGGAGCGGUGAAAUGCGUUGAUAUCGAUAGGAACUCCGGUGGCGAAGGCGGCAUACUGGACCACUUCUGACGCUGAGGCACGAAAGCUAGGGGAGCAAACAGG